CUAUGCAUGUUUCAAGUCUUAAGAGAAAAAGAGAUGAUCAAUUAAAUCAUACAUACCUUUGGCAUUGUAGGCAUGGUCAUAUUGGAGAGAAAGAAUUAACAAGUUGUGCAAGGAAGGGUACCUUGACAAAUAUGAUUUUGAAUCAUAUCCAAUUUGUGAAUCUUGUCUCAAAGUAAAAAUGACCAAAUCUUCAUUUACUGGAAGUGAAGACAGAGCUACUGAAUUAUUGGGACUAGCUCAUACAGAUGUUUGUGGGCUCAUGAAAAUUCAAGCUAGAGGUGGAUAUUCUUACUUCAUCACCUUCACUGAUGAUAUGUCAAGAUAUGGAUUUGUUUAUCUUAUGAAACAAAAGUCUGGCUCAUACAGAUGUUUGUGGGCCCAUGAAAAUUCAAGCUAGAAGUGGAUAUUAUUACUUCAUCACUUUCCCUGAUGAUAUGUCAAGAUAUGGAUUUAUGUAUCUUAUGAAACAUAAAUUUGAAUCUUUUGAAAUGUUCAAAAGGUUCUGUAGUGAAGUUGAGAAACAGCUGGGUAAAAGUAUCAAGGUACUAAGGUCUGAUAGAGGCGAAAAAUAUCUUAGUGAAAAUUUUACUAAGAAUCUCAAAGAGAAUAAAGUUCUCUCACAAUUGACACCUCCAGGAACACCACAACAUAGUGGUGUGUCUGAAAGGAGAAAUCAAACCUUAUUAGAUUUGGUGAGAUCUAUGAUGGGGUUCACUGAUAAAUUUAUGGCGAUAUGCUUUGGAAGCAGCAACAUACUUACUAAAUAAAGUUCCCACUAAGUCCGUCUCCACAACACCAUAUGAGAUAUUGAAAGGAUGUAAGCCUAACCUUAAACAUAUUAAAGUUUGGGGUUGUCCAGCUUAUGUUAAGAGAAUGCAGUCUGAUAAACUUAACUCAAGAUUUGAUAAUUGUAGGUUCGUUGGUUAUCCCAAAGAAACAAUGGGAUAUUAUUUCUAUCAUCCUUCUGACCAUAAAGUGUUUGUAGCUAGAGGAGCAACCUUUUUGGAAAGGGAAUUUCUUUUGGAAGUAAAUUAUAGUGGAGAAAUAGAAUGAUGAAAUUCAAGAAACUAAUGAAACAUGC
rnacentral:lncRNA from 1 species